UAAAUGUAUAUAUUGCUGCUUUCUUAUAACCGCAAUGCCUAGGAAAUAGGAUGAGGAGGAAUUCUGGUUAAUUGGAUUUUCUAAUUAGCUGAGGGUUAAUGUUUUCUUUAAAAAUCUUGCCAAAACAGUUCUUGAAAUGCAUCCAUCUUUUUCCUUGGCUUAACAGAAUAUGGCAACUAAAUGCAACUUUUUCUAUCAUCAGGUCAUAGUCUAGACCAGAUCUUUGCUCAGCUUUCACCUAAUCAGAGAGCCCUCCCAUGACCACACUUGAUUAAAAAAAAUCACUCCCACUCUCCCCUUAGCCUUUCACCCUUGCACUGCUUUGCUUUUUUCACUUGCAGCAUGUAUCACUAACCAAUAUGUUAUAUAUUGACUUGUUUAUUUUUUGUCUAUCUCCCUUCAAUGUAAGCUUCAUGAGAGAAGGGCCUUUAGGACAUUCAAAGUUGUGUCUUCAGGGCCUAGGAUGGUGCCUGACAUGUAGUAAGUACUCAAACAAUAUUUUUGAGGUGAACAAAUGAAUCCAGUUAAAUAUGAAUUCUAAACAUUUAGUCCUGCUGUUGAAGUAAAUGGGGCUGAAUCUGCAAGUGCGUGACACCCUAAUUAGGGUUGGAGUUAUUGAUAAUAAAAUAAAAAGUAAAAUAAAGAUGUUGCCAUGUUAUCUGAUUCUGAUUCUGAUUCUGAUUCUUCUUCAUACAAACAGACACAAGGCUGCAAUUUUAGUAAAUCAAGGCUUCUGGUCAAUUGGAAUCAGUCCAUCAAGGUGUCUUACAAUUUGAAGGAAAGAAUUGGUUUCUUGUGUGCUCUGCUUUCUAUGCUGUGCAUUCUUUUACUCUGAGCAUGCAUCAUGUAAACACAUUCACUCUUGAACAAAGGACACACACUUUGACAAUGACUCUGUUCUAAAGAAAGUAGGUUCCUAUUUUGUUGAUAUACUUUAGAGAUUCCUGCAAGUGGAGCAGUCUCACAGAAGCCAUCCAUUUGCAGUUUACUUUCUUGCACCAUUUCUGAAAUGCUGUUGCCAGCAUAGUCCCUACUUUGCUAUGUGAUUCUGGUUAAGUGGCUUUUCCCCUUCUUGCUUAAAAAAGGUAAUCUACAUGCUGCUUUUGGAAGGUAUAGGGAAAGUAACUGAACAGCAAGAGAAGAACCUGUUCUGAAUAGUACUAUGGAUAUUUGACAAAUGAAACUAGGACUUUCAAUGGCAAAUUAACUGAAUGGAGUUGUCGUAGCAAAGGUACAUGUGUCUUUUGAUGAUGAAAUAGGCCCCAGCUCGGGGCACCUGGCUGGCUCAGCGAUUGUCUGCCUCAGGUCAUGACCCCAGGAUCCUGGGAUCGAGUCCUGCAUCAGGCUCCCUGUGGGAAGCCUGCUUCUCCCUCUGCCUAUGUCUCUGCCUCUUUCUGUGUCAUAAAUAAAUAAAUAAAUAAAUAAAUAAAUAAAUAAUUUUUUUUUAAAAAAGGCCCCAACUGCUAGAUUUUCUAUCAUUGCCUUCAGAGUGCAAGCCCAAUAUAUUUGGAAGAAUGGAUGAAGUUUUAGACUAUCUGAAAACUUUCCUGAAAAUCUCAUUAUGAGACCCUGCAUCAUAAUUAAAGGGAGUCAAAUGGUAAUUAAGAACUUCGACUCUGGUACCAAACUGCUUGGGCUUGAAUCUUGGAUCUGCUACUUACAGGCUGGAUGAUCUUGGGCAAACUUCACUGUAUGAUAAAAGUUGGGUCUUGACACCCUCCCACCCAAAGUUCCACCUUGGACCUCUUUGCAGGCCACUCUUUUGUUGCUUAGUCUGCUUCAGUCUCAGGGAUCUUACUGGCCCCAUUUCAGGGCUCCUACACUUGCUGGCCCUUCACCAAAAGGAUCUUCUCCCACGUAUUCUCAUGGCUGGUUCUCUUGCUUUCUUAGGGCUCCUGCUCAACUCUCACCUUCUCAGAGAUGCUUUGUCAGAUAUCUAAUACUUAUCAUCCUUGAGCAACCAUUAUAAAACUCACUCUUUAUUAUCCGUGCUGCACCCUACCCUAUCCUGAUACUAAAUAUAAGCACAUGAGAUAUCAAUGUUGUCCACUGUGGAGCUCCAGGGUCUUGAAUAGUGUCUAGCACAUAGUAUAUGCUCAAUAAUAUUUGUUUACUUCAGGAAUCAAUAUCUUAUCUGAAUUGUUUCUAUUAGAGUCUCUUUCUCAUUGACUUGGAAUUGGGUGCAAAGGGACUAAGCAACAGGUGCUACGACUAUAAAGUCUUGCUUCAAAAGCUAAGGCCCUA
rnacentral:lncRNA from 1 species